CGCCAUGAUAAACCAAGAAAUAUAGCCUUAAAAAAUCGCUUCGUUCCGUGCGUUCCAUGCUUACAGAUGAUUAUACACGUGAUUCCUACGGCGAUUAUUCAACGUUGAUUGAUGGGUCAUUUGAAGACUUAGACAUCCCCUAUAGUUUCAGGUUGGACUUGAAUGAGUUUCGUGGGACUACCAAAUAAGAAUCAACAUUUUUGUUUGUCAGAGACCCGUGUGGACAAAUCAUUUUUUUUUAAUCCUCAUUGUAUGAGAAUUUAAGCGAAACACGAAGAUAAAGAGUUUACCCAGCAUUACCAUUUUACCACAGAAUAACAGAAUUUAUCAAUAAGUUGACAAGUUAAAAAAGAAUAACCAGUUUAUCACAGAGAAACAACAAAAAAGGAAUAAGAAAGUGAAGAAGUCAAAAAGUCAAUAGUAACCACAAUAAGUCAAAAAAUGUCUAAGAGAAAGCUGGAACAAACUAAUGACAUAAUUGAUAUGAAACGCAUAAGAUCUACUAAAAAAACAAUUCGCACAUCUAGAAGUCAGUGGAGAUGAAUUUUCAAGUCCUCAAAUGACGAAUCAAUCCAAUCAUAAUGCUGAUUCCCACAGAAUCGAGCAUGCUAUAUCUUUACACGAUCAUAAUUAUUCUAAAAACUUCAAAAAACCAAAAAAACCAAAAGUGAAACACAAUUCGAUCAUUCCA